rnacentral:lncRNA from 1 species
CUCCAUUGGUCAAAAAAAGUAGACUUCGUAUUUUUAAUUUUAGGUUAGCCAAGAGUCACCAAAUGAACUUCGAUCUAAGCUAAAACAUAAGCGCCAUCAGCAUUCCAUUGUCCAAUCCAACUUUAUAGCCUAGAGCUCAACUAACCUUCCCACUUCACAUUGGAAUCUUAGUUCUGCCAGUAUGGAUUCGAGCAGCAACACACACACAAACAUAUAUAUAUAUAUAUAUAUAUAUAUAUAUAUAUAUAUAUAUAUAUAUAUAUAUAUAUAU